AGCUUUGAGGUUCAUAAAUAUGAUUACUGGAUUUUCAUGCCAAUGUAUAACUUGGGUCUGCCUGGAAGUGUGUUAGGGUGUUGGCACAUUACCUGUCUGGAC
ensembl:snoRNA